GCAAAGAAAUCACACAUUGCUGGGUGCUUGAUUUUUUUUAGAGACACUUAUUUGCUUUAAAAAGUCUUUUAAAAUGUCAAUGACGUCAUACACAUCGUACGACCAGAGGUACUGCUUUAUGGCAAUCCUUCAGUCAGUUUGGUGCUUUCAGAGAAUGUCUAUGGUGCUUUCCAGAGCCGUUGAAAAAUUAUUUAAUCGCUCUGAUGCUUUCGUGCUCUGAUUUUGGACAUUAGCCAACUUGGCAUUUGGCCAACUUUCCCUCCCACGUGAACCUCCGUAAAUUCAGGUUGGCUUUGACGAUUAACAGUCCACAUGGGUUAACUUUUUUCGUCCUUGGCAAAUGAGAAAUAGGACAACCCUUGCCCGCUAUUAGAACAAUUUAUCAUUGCACACCUGUGAGGCAUUUUUCUUUUUUUUUCUUUUUCAGUUUUUAAUUGAUAUUUAGCACUAUUGAGCGUGACAUUUGUGUUUAAGGUGGCGAUACUAUACCAUAUGUAUCCGGUAUUUCUUAACACAAGAAGUACUCAAAUUCAAUUUAUUUUCCAUGUAAAUUUCAAAGUACAUGUAUAUCAAUAGACAGAUAAAAUUGCCAGCAAAAAAAAAAGUUGCUGCGUUGAAAAGAAAAACUUGGGCGAAAAAGUCCGCCUUAACAUUCUGAUCCCGCUGAUUCUGAAGCCAUCAAGCGGUAUCUCUGGUCAUUAUCAUUCCUUCACUGACCAAUUAGCGCUCAUUAGCAGAAUGCUAGUGUGUUAUGGGCAACAACUCAACCUGUAGGAAAUCGAAAGGACAUAAGUACUCGUUCAUUCAACUUUUGACCUAUAACCCAUGUUGAACUUGCAAAACCUACAAUCAUAUCUGAGAUUUCGGGUGAAAGGGACAAAUUUAGCGAGCAGGGUAUAACUGCAGCCUGGAGAACUCCAAAAGGGGCGAAAACUCAAAUGGGGUGGGACCUCCAAAAUAGAGCAUGGCUUCCUCCCAUUGAGAGAGUUGUCACAGGCCGGAACGGGCCCCUACCGAAUGUACCACCUCGAGGAGUUUACCCAGAGACAGCACAGACGGACAGCAAGGUAAGUAUAAAUGUUCAGUUUUAUCAAGUUAAGAUCCUAAAUACUAAAACACGUGAUGGAAGAGUUCCAACUCUGUUCCCCUCGGUCCAGCAGCGGUGGGGGCUCUUGGUACAAUCUUCCCAACCCAAGAGAUAACAGAAUGGGAAGCCAACUCAAUCCUUCCACAGAGCAGAUAACAGCACAGAUAGGGCUACGAGAUCUCCACGCAGCAAUUCCUUUCCAAGCAGUCGUUGCUCGCUUUUUCUGGUCUUGGAGAUGGGAAUUGGCGUAAAGCUUGGAGAACAGUAGACAAAUUUUAUAUUAAUAAAGUAAAAGAGUUUUCUUUUAAAAUAAUGCAUAGAAUAGAUCCAGUUAAACAUGUGCUGGAAUGCUUUAAAUCAGAAAUUGAUUACUCUUGUGAUGUCUGUAAAGGUGAAAAGGAAAUUAUUUUUCAUUUAUUUUUUCAUUGUAUACAUACAAAAAUAUGGACUGAUGUGGAGUUUUUUAUUAAGAAAAUAUUGGACAUUUAUUUGCAGUUGAGUGGAUUUGAUGUAAUAAUAUACUUCAGUGAUCAUGGAGUUGACAAAGAUGAAGCAUAUUUCAUACAAUUGUUAAUUGUAAUGGGGAAGUUUUAUAUUCAUAAAAUGAAGUGGUCAGGCUCCAAACCAAACUUUUCUCAUUUUCUAAAUGAUUCCAAGCUGAAUUGUAAGAUUCUAUGAAAUUGCACAAGUAAAAAACCUAUUCGAGCUUAUAGUAAACAGGUAUAAAGUGACACCCCCAAAAUAUUUAUCUAUUUAUUUUUAUGUUGUUAUUGUCCUCUGGCAUGGUUUUCAUAUUAAUGUUGUUCAUAUUUUUUUCCUUCUCAUUUUAAUGUUUCUCGUUGCAUUGUUUUGAUGUAUGGUAUAAUAAAAUUAAAAUAAAACAAAGUU